rnacentral:rRNA from 1 species
GACGUAGGGCGCGAGCGUUGUCCGGAUUUAUUGGGCGUAAAGAGCUCGUAGGCGGCUUGUCGCGUCGUUCGUGAAAACCUGGGGCUCAACUCCAGGCUUGCGGGCGAUACGGGCAGGCUAGAGUUCGGUAGGGGAGACUGGAAUUCCUGGUGUAGCGGUGGAAUGCGCAGAUAUCAGGAGGAACACCAAUGGCGAAGGCAGCUCACUGGGACGGUAUUGACGCUGAGACGCGAAAGCGUGGGGAGCAAACAGG